ensembl:lncRNA
ACACCUGACUUCUAGCUUCUCUUGAAGAAUCCGUACCAGCAAUUCCAAGAGCCUGGCUUCCCACGUGGUAGCUCUCAGCUGAAGCUGAGGAAUAGCAAGCGGCUGCUGGCUUAAAAGGGAGUGCAUCUCCAGCUCCCCACAGCUGUCACUGUCCCUCCUUACUGCCUCACCCCUGCCCCAUUUCUGUUUCUUGUUCCCGUGUCAGCAUCUGGCAUUGAGGGCCCUGGCCCUGGCCCGUGCAAGUUGGUGCCUUACCGGGAAUGGACCACCAUUGCUGCCUGCCAGCUGUUGCUCAGACUGGACCUGGGUGGCUUCCUGGACUCUUGUUUCUUGGGAGUGAGGAAGGUGCAGCGUCCGCACUGUGAUCCAGAGCACCCUGUUCCAGGCCUCCAUCACCUCUCAGCUGGAUUGACUGUGGAAUCCAUCUCCCCAGUCUCCUGGCUCCUUCUCAAAUCUUACCAGGGCCAGAAGGUUCCUGUGAACAUAUAAGUCAGGGGAAAACCCUCCUCUGCCUAGAACCUUCCAUUGCUCCCAGGUGACUCCGAUUAAAAACCAAUUCUCCCCGAAGCACAUCAGGCCAGGAUGGUCUAGCCCAUUACCUCCCUACCCUCACCUUCCUCUCUUUUUGCCCUCACCCCCUCCCUCCAGCCACACAGGCCCGCUCAUUGAUCCUUUGAACACCCAGCAUGUUUCCACCUCAGGACCUUUACGCUGGCUGUUCUCUCUGCCUGGAACCCCCUCCCCCCCACCGCCGAUCUCCCCAGGACUCCUUUUAAGUCUUUAUCCAAAUACCACCUUCUUAGUGAGCUCUUCCCUGACCUCCUCUAUCUAAAACUGCAGCCAUCACCAUGUUCUGCUGCUGCUGCUGCUGCUAAGUCGCUUCAGUCGUGUCCCACUCUGUGCGACCCCAUAGACGGCAGCCCACCAGGCUCCCCCGUCCCUGGGAUUCUCCAGGCAAGAACACUGGAGUGGGUUGCCAUUUCCUUCUCCAAUGCAGGAAAGUGAAAAGUGAAAGUGAAGUUGCUCAGUCCUGUCCGACUCUUAGCGACCCCAUGGACUGCAGCCCACCAGGCUCCUCCGUCCAUGGGAUUGUCCAGGCAAGAGUAUUGGAGUGGGGUGCCAUUGCCUUCUCCGGUCACCAUGUUCUGUCUUCCUUAAUUUUCUUCCAUAGCACUGAUCAUCCUCUAACAUCCUGUACCUUUUAAUUGUCUGAUUUCUCAUCUGUCUUUCUGAUUGGAAUGUCAGCCCCAAGAACAGAGAAGCUUGUCUGCCUUAUUCACUGCUGUGUUCCCAGCAGCUAGCACAAUGCCAGGUGCACAGUAGGUGCUCAACACAUGCUUGUUAACUGAAUGCAUUGCCUUGCCCCUGCCAAUGACAGCAGUUGGAAUUAAUCCCCACCCACACAAUAUCCUCCCAGCUCAAUUCUGAGACCCCUUUACCUGCCUUUUCACUUGAGCCGAGGUAUAAAGGACAGGAUGGGGCUCCAGCAGUGCCCAAGGUGGGGGUAUAGGAAGCCUCCAGGAGAGGCAGGGGCACACAGAACUCCACCCCACCCACUCUUCAAGGCUUGGACAGUUCACCAUCCACUCCCCUUAGCACCCUGCUUACUUUCCAGGGCUAUUUCCAUCAUGCUUUCUGUGCCUGCCUUACCCACUGAACAGGGAUGCCCCAGAGAGGAACUCCAGUCUUACUGGCAAGACACUAGGGCAUUCUCAACAUCUGGCCCCCAGCCACUAAAUGCUGUAAGGGGUCCUCCGUGUUUGAGGAAUACAUGGAAGGAAUUAAUACACUGAAUGAGAAGCCCCUCAGGGUCAAAAAUGCUGGCCGAGUGGGCUCUAGGUGUAUCUGUGCUGGGGGUGCCUGGUGGGCAGUGGAGGGCUGAGCAUUUUUCCUGAGACCAGGAACGUGUUUCAUUACCAACCCCAACCCCUGCGCCGCCCUCGCAUGGGUUCUCGCACCUCCGGCACACGGACCUAAGGAAUACGAAGAAACAGGACACCCACGACUGAGGGCGCCAGCCCUGAGGUAGAGGACUCAGAAGAUCGGGGACAGAGGAAGGUGGAGGAAACCAGCACCCAGGUCGGUCAGCACUGGAGCUCAACACACGUGGACACAGGAGGAGGGCAGAGGGCACAGGUUUAUAGAAAGCUGGCUGUGUGGAUGUGGGGGGAGGGUUCCUGGUUGCCCCCUGCGGUACCGCCAAAGCCUUUCAUGGAUCCUACCAGGUGCUGCGGAGAUAUUUCAAAGUGGGAAACUGACGUGUGGAGAAGCCGAACCUCCCCCAUUCUCCCAUCCUGGUACUGCACCAACCAUAGAUGGAUAGAACCCCCUCCGCAGCCACAAACCUCCACUUCAUACAUAUUUGGUCCCUUAGAUCCAGCCGAUGGGCCUGACCAUCCGUAUUUAAGGCCCAAGGUCUACAGCCACGGAACCCUGGGUGUGAAGGAGGAAUGAAGUUAGCCCGCCUACUGUCUCCACCCCUGAAGUCUAGGGCUGGAUUUGGCCCCAGUUCCAGGCUAUGAGAAUCCCUGCCCAGUCCUGAAAUGAUGGUUGCCCACAGAAGCAGGUGGAGGGUGGUGGGUGCCAUAGAGGUAAACCCCGGUUACCCGGUCAGCCUGGAAGUCUGGCGUCUCUGUGCGUGCUCAGUCACUCAGUCCUGUUCGACUCUUUGCAACCCCAUGGACUGUAGACUGUGUCCGUGGAAUUUUCCAGGCAAGAAUACUGGAGUGGGUUGUCAUUCCCUUCUCCAGGGUAUCUUCCCGAGCCAGGGGUCCAACUCACAUCUCUAGCAUCUCCUGCACUGGCAGGUGGAUUCUUUACCUCUGUACCACCUGGGGAGUCUCUGCUUUUCCCUAAAUUCAAGCUUCUGGGAAGGGAUUUUUAGAGGACGGGUUUAUUCACUUGCAGAUGUUCCUUUUAGGGUUUCUUAGAUUUUUAUAGCUCCCCUCUAAGCCUGCCCCAAGUUUUGUCUAUUUGUCACCCCAACCCUUUCCAUUGCUACUUCCACGCUGUUUCUCAAUUCCUCACCCAUUCUGCAGAGCCAAGUUGGAAUGGCAAUGCAUUCUCUUCCCUGGAGACAGAGACCAGGGUUUGCCAUCUUCCUCGUCCUCAGCACAUCCCCUUCCUCUAUAAUCCAGGUCCGGACUUGUCUGCCCCACUCUCCCCACUAUUGCCUGCUCUGUGUCUACCUGAGAUUCAGCCCCGACUUUGUAUGCUCUGGCCCGUGUGCUAAUUAGACCUCCACUGGAUGAUUCCCUUCCCUAAGGAUCCAAACCAGGGAUUUGCUCCUUCCCAUCCAUCAGUCUUCCCCUUGCACCCAUCCUUCAUAAAACGCCAGGCUUCCAGGUCCGCUCUCCCGAGAUCCUCACCGGAUCUUACC